GUAGUUAUCUUCCAAGAGAGGGAUAUUUGGCUCUUUACCGUUUGUUGUAAAUUGAAAAGGUUCUGAUUCCAUUUUUCUUUGAAAUGUGCUGGUGCGCUGAAUUGUUCUUUUAUGAUACACGUUACUGCCAAUAAUGGCUCAGCCCCCUUUUGUAGCCUUCACUUCUCAUUUUCUUUCUCUGCACCGAUCGACUGAUCAAUUGAUACCUAGUGUCUUCGUAGCUGGCCGGUCGUCAAAGUGCCUGGCCUACACUGCUGAUUCAGACGACGAUUAUGCAUGCUAAACAAGUAAAAAAAAAAGAAGGUAACCUUCAAAACUGAUGCAGCAACAAUUUAAACAUGAUCAGUAAAUACUAUCUGAUGCAAAUAUGUAAUUCGAGCUAGCAGGCCCUCCAAUGGAAUCGUGUGCCCAUACAUUGUGUGUGUACAAAGUGCAAACGCGGACGACACAACAUUCUCCUGAUGACAUGCACGCACAGUAUAGGAGAUCGAUUUGGCGCUGGAUCGGAUAUUGCUU
rnacentral:lncRNA from 1 species